AACGAACGCUGGCGGCAGGCUUAACACAUGCAAGUCGAACGGGUGUAGCAAUACAUCAGUGGCAGACGGGUGAGUAACACGUGGGAACCUUCCUCGUUGUACGGGACAAUUCAGGGAAACUUGAGCUAAUACCGUAUACGUCCGAGAGGAGAAAGAUUUAUCGCAAUGAGACGGGCCCGCGUCGGAUUAGUUAGUUGGUGGGGUAAUGGCCUACCAAGGCGACGAACCGUAGCUGAUCUGAGAGGAUGAUCAGCCACACCGGGACUGAGACACGGACCAGACUCCUACGGGAGGCAGCAGUGGUGAAUCUUGGACAAAGGGCGCAAGCCUGAUCCAGCCAUGCCGCGUGAGUGAAGAAGGCCUUAGGGUUGUAAAGCUCUUUUGCCAGGGACGAUAAUGACGGUACCUGGAGAAUAAGCCCCGGCAAACUUCGUGCCAGCCGCCGCAGUAAAAC
rnacentral:rRNA from 1 species